UUCAUUCAUUUCUAAUAUUAAUUGAACCUGAAUUAUUCAUUUAAAUAUAAAUGUUAACUUAAGUUUUUAGAAAAACUUGGACUUUCUAAAAUCUCGCGAUACUAUCAAGCCUGGAUGACGAAAUGUCCUGGACAUUACCUCGUGUGAAGUAGAAACAACGUUUGUGAGAAGCCAUUUUAUUUUUACCGAUGCAAUACUCUGCUCGACAGAAAAACUUGAAAGAAUGUUCUUGGGGAUUCACAGCAGCCUGGAGGUGUAGUACUUUGAUAAUCUUGUUCAGACAACGCCAUUUUCUCUCGCGGGAUGUGCUCCAUUUUGUGGGCAUAUUAGGAAUUCUUAAACUCUUAUGGAGAUGGAACAGGAAAGCACUGGGGAUUCUGUUUUAAACUCCCACAUUAGUUCUGUGUUGCCAAACCUCACCACCUGUGUGCUCAAUUCUGUUUUGGACACACUCAAAAACCUGGAUGAUUUCAGAUUUGUAAAAGAUGAUGAUCUCCUGAUGGUCCUCAAGCCAAUAGAAGUUCGAAAACUCCUAGCCACCUUUACAGUCACAUGUGAGUAUAUUACAGUUCAGUCAAUUGUCUUCAAGUGCUUAAUUGGCA